GACGAACGCUGGCGGCGUGCUUAACACAUGCAAGUCGAACGGAAAGGCCCUGCUUUUGUGGGGUGGGUGAGUGGCGAACGGGGGAGUAACACGUGAGUUACCUUGCCUUGACUUUGGGGUUACUUCAUGAAACGGGGGCCAAUACCGGAUUGGAGCGGCUGCUGCAUGUGGGGGGUUGGGGAGUUUCGGCGGUUGGGGAUGGGCUCGGGGGUGGUUAGCUUGUUGGUGGGGUAGCGGCUUGCCAGGGGUUUGGCGGGGAGCCGGCCUGAGAGGGUGACCGGGCUCAUUGGGACUGAGAUGCGGCCGGGACUCCUACGGGAGGCAGCAGUGGGGAAUGUUGCCCAAUGGGCGGACGCCUGAUGCAGCAACGCCGCGUGCGGGAUGACGGCCUUUGGGUUGUAAACCGCUUUCGCCUGUGACGAAGCGUGAGUGACGGUAAUGGGUGAUGAAGCACCGGCUAACUACGUG
rnacentral:rRNA from 1 species